rnacentral:rRNA from 1 species
CCUACGGGAGGCAGCAGUAGGGAAUAUUGCACAAUGGGCGAAAGCCUGAUGCAGCAAUGCCGCGUGUGUGAAGAAGGCCUUAGGGUUGUAAAGCACUUUCAAUAGUGAAGAAAAGCACAAGGAUAAUACCCUUGUGUCAUGACGUUAACUAUACAAGAAGCACCGGCUAACUCCGUGCCAGCAGCCGCGGUAAUACGGAGGGUGCAAGCGUUAAUCGGAAUUACUGGGCGUAAAGCGCGCGUAGGCGGUUUUGUAAGUCGGAUGUGAAAGCCCAGGGCUUAACCCUGGAAUUGCAUCCGAUACUGCAUGACUAGAGUAUGGUAGAGGGAAGUGGAAUUUCAAGUGUAGCGGUGAAAUGCGUAGAUAUUUGAAGGAACACCAGUGGCGAAGGCGACUUCCUGGGCCAAUACUGACGCUGAGGUGCGAAAGCGUGGGGAGCGAACAGGAUUAGAUACCCUGGUAGUCCACGCCGUAAACGAUGAGAACUAGAUGUUGGGAGGGUUACCUUUCAGUGUCGCAGCUAACGCGUUAAGUUCUCCGCCUGGGGAGUACGUCGGCAACGAUAAAACUCAAAGGAAUUGACGG